rnacentral:rRNA from 1 species
UGCGGAGGGAUCAUUACAAGUGACCCCGGUCUUACCACCGGGAUGUUCAAAACCCUUUGUUGUCCGACUCUGUUGCCUCCGGGGCGACCCUGCCUUCGGGCGGGGGCUCCGGGUGGACACUUCAAACUCUUGCGUAACUUUGCAGUCUGAGUAAACUUAAUUAAAAAAUUAAAACUUUUAACAACGGAUCUCUUGGUUCUGGCAUCGAUGAAGAACGCAGCGAAAUGCGAAAAGUAAUGUGAAUUGCAGAAUUCAGUGAAUCAUCGAAUCUUUGAACGCACAUUGCGCCCCCUGGUAUUCCGGGGGGCAUGCCUGUUCGAGCGUCAUUUCACCACUCAAGCCUCGCUUGGUAUUGGGCAACGCGGUCCGCCGCGUGCCUCAAAUCGACCGGCUGGGUCUUCUGUCCCCUAAGCGUUGUGGAAACUAUUCGCUAAAGGGUGUUCGGGAGGCUACGCCGUAAAACAACCCCAUUUCUAAGGUUGACCUCGGAUCAGGUAGGGAUACCCGCUGAACUUAAGCAUAUCA